rnacentral:lncRNA from 1 species
UCACUGUGAUUAAUUGGAACAUGGAGAACCACCCAGGAAAACAGUGCUACCACAAGACUAAAUGGCUCUGGUCUUGGCUGAAUAAUUAGAAACUCUAGUUUGGGGUAACCUUACCGAAAGGGCAAGAGGGGAGGCGUUGAUGGGAUAUAGCACUCGCUCUCUUGGGAAGUGGGCUUGGCUAAGACACUAUACCCUCUAGGGGACUGCUAUGUUUCGCUUCGACCUGAAACCUUAGCGGGUUACCACAUUGCUAGCGAAUCUUUGUAAAGGCCUCGUAGCGUCCCUAUGCAAUCACACCUCGGAAGUGUGGUAUUGUGCCUGAUCAGCACAAGCGUGGUUGGGUCUAAAGUUCUUUUGAGCUUUUACGCGACUUGUGGGUAAAGAUGUGCGACCUCUGCAGAGUGUAAAACUGAUCGAUCAGCCGUGCUCACGGUUAAGAGCGGCCUGGACCCUCACAUGAGUAAUAUACUUGAAGAUGGAUUUAAAUUGUGGUUUAUGCUAUGGUUAUAUUUCUGCCAUGUGCUUAUGGCUUAUGUUUAUGUUUCUAUUAAUUGUGGGUUGGUAUAUACUUAUACCUUAGUAAUCAGGUGCUAAUAAAAUUUGACCAACUAAAAAUGCUUAAUGCAAUCAACCAGUCAGCCUUUCCUUGUUUAACCCUUGCAUUCAUAUUCUCCUCACACUUGCUGAGUACGACAAGUGCUCACCCUUGCUAUAAACAAUAUUGCUCAGAAGAAGAAGCUGCUAUGAAGUUGUUCCGAAGAUGAUGCUGAGUUCUAGGCGUACGCAACCCCCAGUUGUUUGCCUGUGAAGUUUGGAGCCUCCAUUUCCAUAAUUAAGCUGUAUAUCUCUGAUGGUUUCGUAAGUCUUUGUAUCUUUUUACGUGAUACUGUUGCUGUUAUUCACUAAUGAUGUCACUAUAUGUAUGAAACUUGAUCCUGGCAUACAUAUAGGUAGCACUUGGUUUUGUCCUUAAAACCGGGUGUGACAGAAGUGGUAUCAGAGCCGUAUCAAUUGUAGGACGUAAGCCUAGAUAGCAAUGGUCACUUUCUAAGGUCUGCUUUACUAUAUAAACAAUUCCUGCCUUAUCCUUGACCUUUCUGGAAAAUAUUCUCACUUCUUGAUAAGUUUUAUUCAAUCCUCCUUGAUAACUUGAGCUCUUUUCAUUUGCACUUCUUGUCUUGCAAAUGUUAGACCCUCAAUCCUUGUCUAUUUAUUUCCUCUCUCCUUGAUCACUGCUUGAUCUUGAUCAUGCAUCUCCUUCUUGAUGAAUGAUCUUACCUGUUUGAUGCAAUACACCUCCUUGAUUUCUUAGUGAUAUUGCUACUCUCUCAUCCCCUGUUCAUUUAUCUCCUUAAUAUUUUCCUUACAUACUUAUCCUUGUAAACCUAUCUCUUCCUUAACUUUAUUUUCAGUAUAUCCAUCUUCCCCAUUGUACCUCUCGUUGCUUGUGAAAUAAAUGCUACCUUGGAAUCUUUUCCUUGACUUUUGAUUCCAAAAUGUCUCGUUUUAUUCAAAAAUAUCUAGAUGAUCCAUGCCACCUGUCUUAAAGCCUGUUCAAGACAUCUGAAGAAUGGAGUUACCAGUUCACCACUAGAAGUCAAGCCUGAGCAAUUGAAACGUGCACCAAACAUCUGGAGUCAAUGCUGGGCAAGCUGAAGGAUGCCUACAUCAAGCACGUUGAAGCCUUACCAAACAACCCCUGCUUAGGAGUACCCCUUGUAGCCUUAUUAACAACGUUUAGCAUCGUUUCUUGACUCUGUGUUGACUGGUGGAAUUCUGUGUUUGCAUGAUGAUGCUUGUCCUUAUGAAAUUGUCUGAUUUGUUUCUUUGUAAUGAUUGUUGGUGUAUUGUGGGUCUUCUAUCUACAAUGACAUCAGUUGCCUAGCUGGGUUUUUCUUUUGAAUCUCCCAUAUCCUUGUCAUCCAUUCCUUUCUACCCGAGCCAAUGAAGGACAUCAGAAAAGAGAGAACUAAAGUCAACACCAUAGUCAACAAGUAGGAGUUAACAUCACCACCACCGUCUCGCUAGAAGCAAGUUGAAGAAUAGAAGGCUCUACUCUAAUCUCCAUCUUACUCUAAUGAUGAUUACAAGAACCAAAGAAGAUGAAGAAAGCAGGGAGAUUCUACUCUCGAUAAGCAAAGAUGGAAGACUAUCCACUCUACCAUAAGGAACUUGUUGUCUCCCACCUCUUUGUUUUCUUUUCUCUCUUCGAAUCUACUUGUACCUCCCACAUCCUUGUUAUUUUUCUUUCUAUCUCCCAAUUCUGAUGGACAUCAAGAAGAGAGUGAAGGCAACACCAAUGCCAACAAGCGGAGGCUAUCGCCACCAUCACCGUCGAAAUAGAAGCAAGCCGAAGAAAAGAAGGCCCCAGCCUAGAUUUCUUGCCACCUCGCUACUUUCUAUCCUUCCUUCUACCUUACUCGGAUGACGACCCAAGAAAAGAUGAAGAUAUCAUGAACUGCUCUACCUUGUUCUACAAUUCUAUCCAUUUCCUAUUUUCUUCUGAUCCUAUCGUUAUCACCGAAUCAACUGGCGAGUCCCAAUGAAAAUCAUGAAGAUAGGGCCAAUGAAGGAGAUCUUAACAUUCCACCUGUAGCCGCAUCAUUCGAACGCAAGAUGUUAGAGUAUAUGGCAACACAAACCCAUGUUUUACAAGCAAUGUCUCAAACCAUGGUCAAUAUCCAUCAGUAUAUCACAGAGCAAGCCUCACUUCCUGAGAACCACAACCCUAUCACUAGUGAUGACCAUCAGGUUCCGUCUGUUCCACCACCGUUCGACAACGAGAAGCUAUUAACCAUGCAGGCUCAAGUCUUACAAGGAAGGAUACAGACUGACACAUCAACCCCUCAUAACAUGGAAAUGACCAAAGUUAGAAUUUCUACUGGACCACUGAAGAGGCAAGUUGCUGAAGCAUGGAACCGUCAAAGGAACAAGCCAAGCCGUAUAGCGCCAGAGCUAGAAAUGGAGAGGCAACAUGAGGAUUUUAAGAUUCUGGGAACACGCCAGUGUUGUGAACACCAUGGUCUUCCAUGUCUCCAGGAAGAAGAUAGCUUAAUGACAGUUGAAGCUAGACAACAUUAUUAUUUGGACAUCAAUAAGAAGAGGAAGUUGUAUGCCCAAGGGCUAGACCAAGAGGAAGUCACUCAAGAUGAAGAUAGUACUCACACUAUGAACCUUGAGGGUUGGAGUAUCUCUUUCAAAGAAUUUCAGCCCUGGAGGAGUAGGCGAGCCAACAAACCAACUAGUAAAGCAAGUCAAGAGAAGAUGGAGUUACCACAAUCAUUGGCAGAUAACCGUACUCGGCCUAGUUCCCACCAACCACAGCCUAAAGUUGAUCACUAUCCACAUGGCAACCCCAUCAAGAAGAAUCCUGAUGCACAAGCUAUUCCACCGAUAGCUACCAUGGAGCAGAAAGGAAGACGAGAAGGAUGUAAUAAAAGACUGUGCUGCAGAUGCGGUAAGGAAGGCCAUUAUACCAAUAACUAUCCAAUAAAGUGUAAGUGGACCAGGUCCGCUGGAGCCAAAAUAUAUUGCCUCAAGUGUGGAGAAAAUGAACAUCUUGUUAGUUGGUGUGCAAAAGAGAAAGAUGAUCAACCCCAGGGCCAAGGAUCCAAUAGCCCUGCAUUCAAACCGACAACAUCAGUUGGCCUCUUUGUCAGGACAAAUAAUUAGGAUGCCUCAGUCAAGAAAGAAGGCCACCAAUUUCCAAUGCCCAAUUCCCAUACCACAUCUAGUUGCCAAAGUACCAAAGCAAGAAUAACAUGUUUCUACCGCAAAUAAGAGAGACAUUUCAUCAGACAAUGUUCCAAGAAGCGUUUGGACUAGAUGGAGAAGAAGACUAAAGGAUGUGUAUGAAGACUUGAAGGAUGACAGUCGAGCCAGAGGGAAGCAAUUCAGCUCUAUUCAAAUCACUUUACCAAGAAAUGAAGAAAAUUCUUCAAAGAUGGGCAAAAGAAGCAGAGGGAAGGAAAGGAUACUUAAAAGAGGAAUUAGACUAAGUAUCCCUGAAGUGUUUUAUGUGAUGUAGUGAAGCAUAAAGGGCAUGAUUGAGAAGCUUACGUAAGGAUGAACGAUCUAGGAAGAAGCUAAUAAGUGUUGGAUCCUACCCACCUAAACCUUUGUCUCUUGCUAGCCUUUGCGAAUCUCGGGACGAGAUUCUUGUUAAGGGGGGUAGUGUUGUCACACCCUGAAAUUUCCGAAUUUCAGGAUGUGAAUAAAAGGAAUAAAUAAACAAUGAUUUUCUCAUAAUUUUAAAAUUUUCCCAACAAUUAUUUUCUUUACAGGAAAUUUAGUAUAGGAAAAAUAAUUGUUUGCUUUUAUAAAUUAAAUAAUGUUGUUCUAUGUCUGUGCAUUCAUGCCGUUGCAUCUUGGUGUUUCUUGAGUGCAAAAGUUUGAAAAAUACGUUUAGACGUUGCCCAGACCCUUGUGAGGAUUUUCCAUCUUUUUCUGGAAUUUAUUCUCCUUUUUCUAGAGCUAAAUCUAAUUUUUAGAAGGCUCUAGAAUCCUUUUCACGAGCUCCAAGUAUUUUAUUUGGAUUCUUUGUGUCCCAAUCCAUCUCUGAGAUUUAUCUCAGAUUUUUCGGAAUUUUCUAGGUAUUUUUCUCGCUUUAGAAAACGAGUCCAGCUAUUUCUGGAAUUGUUUUCGCGCAGAUAAAUAAAAUCAGAAAUUCCGAAAAUAAAAAGUCAACUCGAAAAUAUCUUUUUCCGAGUGUGGCGUAUAUAUAUAUCACCGCGUUUGUCUCGACGCGAGGAUUUCAGAUCUGAAAACCUUUUUACGAGUUGCAUCUCCUAACUCCGUAGAUCUGAAGUCAAAGUUCGGUCUUCGUCAAACUCCGGGGAGCUUUUCCGGUGAAACCGUGGACUUCCGGCGAAAACCGACACCACCAUGGAGUUCCUCUCUUCGAGCUCUACGCCGUGGUGUGGUGGAUUGCAUGAAUCCGAUGUCGGCUCCGUCGUCUUCCCCAACUCCGGCGAGCUUUUCCGCCGCCAUUGUUCAUCUCUUGCCGAAGGUGAGCACACCAUCUUGUUCGCCUCGUCGAUAUCGUUCCAUUUUGCCGUUCAUGCACGAGAUCGGGCUUCGUUUCCGGCGAUCCCCUCUUUCUUUUUCUUUUUUUUCUUAUUUCUGCAACCUUACCAGACCGAGCUUCUGGUCGUACUGCCCGCCGCCUGCACGCUGCGCCGCCGCCUGUGCGCCGCCGGAGCCGCCGGCCGAGCCACCCUGCUAGCGCAUCCACCCGCUGCUCGCGCAAGCCGCCCCGGCCCCGGCCGUCGCCGCCGGCAGGACCGGCCUAGGCCACGGUCGAUGGCCAACGUGUUACCAGAGUUGGAAGGUUGAAGAUGAGAUGGUGAUUUUGCUAUUAGGCCCCUGAGGAAAACUCAAAUUUUCAGCUUAUUUCUUGUGUCUUGGCAACUUCACAGAAAACCCCUCGAUCUUUCCGGUCCCAUUCAAUUUAAACCGAGCCUCACAAUCUUUUGGAUCUAACCCUGUUAUUUCUAUUAUUUGCGAGCACUAUUCCUGGUGUCUUUCAAAUUUUCCUUGCUAACCCCUGAGGUCUACGGUUAAUUACGUUUAGACCCCUACAACCUUGUUUAACCCAUAGAUUCUACGUUUUAAUUCCGUUUUUGUCCGUUCAAGUUGCGUUAGAUUCAUAAUGAUGUAAAUUACACGUUAGUGGUAAUGUUUUCCUUCACACAUGUUUUUGAAAAUAAAAUUUAUAUUAAAAAUUGAUUAAUGCCUGUCAAACGAGUUCUUCUCUAAAUAAAAUCUAUUUAGUGUUAAACAUCGUUUUUCAUAAUAAUUGUUAAUUUGAUUAAUGCCUACUUCAUACCCUCUUCUAAAUAAAAGCCAAUUAGGUUAUAUAUCGGUUUUUCAUAAACUAAAGUUAAUUGGAUUAAUGCCUAUCUAAAUAAUUCUUCCAAUUAAAAGCCACUUAGAGUUAUAUCUCGGCGUUUCAUAAAUUAAAUUCAAUUUGAUUAAUGUUUAUUCAAUUUGUUUUCUAAAUAAAAUCUGUAUAGGUUAUAUCUCGAGUUUUCAUAAUUAAAUAUUAAUUUGGCUAAUAUAAAUAUAAAUGUGUUUUUAAUUUAAUCUACUUAGUUGAACUCGAGAUGUAAAGCUAUACGCUUAGAUGUCUACAUGUAUCUUAUUUUUUUAAAUUAAAUGUUUAAUUUGCAUAAAUUGUACUAAAAUAUUUAUAAAUAAAAUUGGACUAAGCUUUACACCGUCUUUUCUUAUCAAAAUAUAAAUAUGACUUGAUUAAUUCUAACUAAGGAUAUUCCUCUGAAAUAUCUUAACAUUGCUUUUCUCAACUAAAAUAAAUGAAGCUUGUAGCUCUUAUCUUCCUUUGCUAACUCAAAACUCUCGAUAGCUUUAUCUUUUCAACCAUAGUUCCGUUGUAAGCGUUCCUGCGUCCGCGUAAUCCUAGAACCGAGCCAUGUUCUUUUAUUACGCUCUUUUAAAGCCUGUCUUUUGUUUUGGUGUACUGCUCUUAGUUGUAUUUGUUUGUUUGCUUGUAUGUUUGUACCGGUGUUUGCUUCGAGUAGAAGGAUCGCCGUUCGGAAGCUCUGAAGAGUACGAGUUUCAAGUGAGCAAGAGCCGAAGAGCAGUAAGAAGUAACUUGUCGCUGGAGAAAGGCAAGUGUGUCCUUGUGCUUUUGUCCCAAUAACUUUGUUUAAUCACUAUUGCAUACGCUUGCACUAAAUUUGAUGGGUCCUAUUAAGGUUUGCCUAGUUUUUAUGAUUAUUCCUUGCCAACCUGGGUUUACCUUUCUGUUGGGUAGCUAUGCUUAGCUGCUAUACUUGGGUUACGGUGGUUCUAAUGAACAAAGAUGAUGAACUUAUUUUAUUUAUGCUACACCUUCCUUUAAUACAAGAUCACUGUGAUUAAUUGGAACAUGGAGAACCACCCAGGAAAACAGUGCUACCACAAGACUAAAUGGCUCUGGUCUUGGCUGAAUAAUUAGAAACUCUAGUUUGGGGUAACCUUACCGAAAGGGCAAGAGGGGAGGCGUUGAUGGGAUAUAGCACUCGCUCUCUUGGGAAGUGGGCUUGGCUAAGACACUAUACCCUCUAGGGGACUGCUAUGUUUCGCUUCGACCUGAAACCUUAGCGGGUUACCACAUUGCUAGCGAAUCUUUGUAAAGGCCUCGUAGCGUCCCUAUGCAAUCACACCUCGGAAGUGUGGUAUUGUGCCUGAUCAGCACAAGCGUGGUUGGGUCUAAAGUUCUUUUGAGCUUUUACGCGACUUGUGGGUAAAGAUGUGCGACCUCUGCAGAGUGUAAAACUGAUCGAUCAGCCGUGCUCACGGUUAAGAGCGGCCUGGACCCUCACAUGAGUAAUAUACUUGAAGAUGGAUUUAAAUUGUGGUUUAUGCUAUGGUU